CCUACGGGGCGCAGCAGUGAGGAAUAUUGGUCAAUGGACGAGAGUCUGAACCAGCCAAGUAGCGUGAAGGAUGAUUGCCCUAUGGGUUGUAAACUUCUUUUAUAUGGGAAUAAAACGUUCCACGUGUGGGAUUUUGUAUGUACCAUAUGAAUAAGGAUCGGCUAACUCCGUGCCAGCAGCCGCGGUAAUACGGAGGAUCCGAGCGUUAUCCGGAUUUAUUGGGUUUAAAGGGAGCGUAGGUGGAUUGUUAAGUCAGUUGUGAAAGUUUGCGGCUCAACCGUAAAAUUGCAGUUGAAACUGGCAGUCUUGAGUACAGUAGAGGUGGGCGGAAUUCGUGGUGUAGCGGUGAAAUGCUUAGAUAUCACGAAGAACUCCGAUUGCGAAGGCAGUUCACUGGACUGCAACUGACACUGAGGCUCGAAAGUGUGGGUAUCAAACAGGAUUAGAUACCCGAGUAGUC
rnacentral:rRNA from 1 species